rnacentral:ncRNA from 1 species
AAAGUUUUAUUUUAGCUUAAAAAUUUAUUUAUAGUUUAUUUUACAUGUAAAUUUUUGUGUGAAUUUAUAUAUUUCUAAAAGAAUUUAAUAAUUUUUUAUUUUCAGUAAUUAAUAUUAUUUAAUUAAAGAAAUUUAUAAAUAGUAAUAUUAUUUAAUAUUGGUUAAAUUGGUGCCAGCAACCGCGGUUAUACUAAGAAUAUUAAUAAAUUAAAUUAGUUUUAGUUAAAUUGGUAUUUAUUAAAAAAUAAAAUUAAUUUUAUUAAGUGAAAUUUUAAAAUUAAAUAAUUUUUUAUUUAUAAAAAUUGAAGCUAAAAAAUUUUAAUUAUAAACUAGGAUUAGAUACCCUAUUAUUUAAAAUGUAAUUGAUAAUACUAAAGUAGUAAAAGUUAUGUUCUUAAAAUUUAAAGAAUUUGGCGGUAUUUUAGUCUAUUCAGAGGAACCUGUUCUGUAAAUGAUAUUCCACGUUGAACCUUACUUAAAUUUGUUUUAAUAUGUAUACCGCUGUUAUAGAAUAUUUUUUAAGAAAAAUAAUUUUCAAUAAUUUUAAUAUAAAUUAAUAUCAAGUCAAGGUGCAGUCUAUAUUUAAGAAGAAAUGGGUUACAAUAAAAAUAUUUAUAUGAAUAUAAAAUUUAAAGAUUUUAUUGAAGGUGGAUUUGAAAGUAAAAUUAUAAAGAUUAUUAAUUUGAUUUUAGCUCUAAAAUAUGUACAUAUCGCCCGUCGCUCUUAUUUUUAAAGUAAGAUAAGUCGUAACAUAGUAGAUGUACUGGAAAGUGUAUCUAGAAUGA